GACGAACGCUGGCGGCGUGCCUAACACAUGCAAGUCGAACGGGGCUAGAUUGGUAGCAAUACCGGUAUAGCCUAGUGGCGGACGGGUGAGUAACGCGUGAGCAACCUGCCUUUCAGAGGGGGACAACAGCUGGAAACGGCUGCUAAUACCGCAUAACGUAUAAUGGCCGCAUGGACAUUAUACCAAAGAUUUUAUCGCUGAAAGAUGGGCUCGCGUCUGAUUAGCUAGUUGGUGGGGUAACGGCUCACCAAGGCUGCGAUCAGUAGCCGGACUGAGAGGUUGAACGGCCACAUUGGGACUGAGAUACGGCCCAGACUCCUACGGGAGGCAGCAGUGGGGAAUAUUGGUCAAUGGGGGGAACCCUGAACCAGCAACGCCGCGUGAAGGAAGAAGGCUUUCGGGUUGUAAACUUCUUUGACAGGGGACGAAAGAAAUGACGGUACCCUGAAAACAAGCCACGGCUAACUACGUG
rnacentral:rRNA from 1 species